rnacentral:misc_RNA from 1 species
GAAGUGCAGUGAUAAAGCGGCGUGAGGCUACCACUGCCAUGCGAAUAGUAUGCGAAAGCCGCUUUCUAUGUUCGCGGAUAUAUUCCUGCUCCACUGUGCACGUAUAAACUGUAUAUAUACAUACACACGUAUACGCUGAUAGCGCCUAACAUACAGCCUCAUGGAAGAGAGGCGUUCAAGAAGACGGACGGGAGAACCAUAGGAGUUUCAGUUGAUCGUAGGAAGUACGCUGGUCAACUCGGCACGUGCGCGUCUUCACAAGGAAACACAAACACGCGCGAUUAUUAUCGCGAACAUGUACGCCGAUUAAAAAGAGUUCGAUCUCGCUGGCGGUUUCAUCAUGCUCGAAACCACGAGGAAAUCAAUAGGCCGCAGGACUGUUGGGUGUGCCCUCGACGACCGGAAAGAGGAAAGAACGUUGGUGAACUAACAAGAAUUUUCCGACGAGGAUGCCGUAAACCGUGCUGAGCAUCGGGACAGAAUUACAGUGUACAUAACGACGUGACAAUGAUGUUCCAUCCGCACCGAGCGAUGCGUCAAAUCUCAGAAAUUUCCUACGUAGGAAGUUUCAAAUUGAUAAGGAUGUCGACUAAUCGGGAGGGCGAAACUGCAGUGACUAUUCCACUGCAGUACAAUGAAGCUCAUUGGAAAGCUAUUUUUGAAAAAUAUGAUCUCGAUGGAGAUGGAAAAAUAUCACUGCAAGAAUUAAAAGCGAUGAUACGCGGGCCAGAUUUUUCCAAGGACAUCCCUGCCGGGGUAGUCCGCACGAUAAUGCGUAAGGCAGAUCUGGAUGAAUCUGGCUAUUUGGAGUAUCCAGAAUUCAUAGCAAUGAUUCAUAGAAAGGACAUGCAGGGUAUAUUUGGACACCUCGUGCAACGUUACGUGCACUCUGUGAUACCUCAACGACCAAGCCGCGCGAUGAGACAAUCUUCCAUGGGUUCGAGGUAUUAUCCCCAGCGACAAAUCAGUAUUCUAAUGCACGCACCACCUUCUCCUCUUCCCUCGAGCUUUGGUGAUUCUCCUCAGACUGCUAUGAUUAGGGCGAAAAGAUGCCGUUCAGCACGUUUUACUGAUCUACAGCAACAAACAAGUACAAUAACGGAAUCUUCUCUCUACUCUAGCGAUUAUCCAGAUGGGCUGUACGAAGAAGAGUACAGCUGUCGACCACCGGCCAUAGCAAUGAUUAUCAUAUCGAUAAUAGAAAUCAUUUUGUUCAUGUAUGAUGUGAUUAAGCACAAAUCUCUUUCUGUAGAGGGACCAGCGGCUACAUUAUUUAUUUAUAAUCCGCACAAGAGGUAUCAAGCCUGGCGGUAUCUAACGUACAUGUUUGUGCAUGUCGGAGUCUUUCAUUUGGUCGUUAAUCUAUUGGUACAAAUUAUGUUGGGCAUUCCUCUGGAGAUGGUUCAUAAAUGGUGGAGAGUAUUGAUUAUAUACUUAGCCGGAGUACUAGCUGGUUCUCUAGGUACAUCCGUUUCGGAUCCAACGGUUUAUCUGGCUGGUGCUUCGGGCGGAGUAUAUGCAUUAAUUACUGCACACGUGGCGACUAUAAUAAUGAACUGGUCGCAAAUGGAAUUUGCUGUAUUGCAACUAUUAGUCUUUCUCGUUGUAACAAGCGUUGAUGUCGGUCAAGCUGUAUACAAUCGUUACGUGCUCGAUACGAACGACCAGAUCGGCUACGUUGCUCAUUUGGCCGGUGCUGUGGCAGGUCUUUUAGUGGGCAUAAAUGUCCUCCGAAAUCUCGAGGUACAAACUUGGGAAAAGGUUGUUUGGUGGGCUAGUAUGUUUACUUACACAGGUCUCAUGACUGCAGCUAUUUUGUGGAAUGUAUUGUACACCUCGUAUUACGAAUGAUGAUAAAUGAAAUAUCGAUAUUCGAUCUGUUCGAAUAACACGUAUAUAUAUAUUGAUAAAGAUAAAUGUAUUAUUAAAGAGAGAAAACUUGCCUUGAAAAGAUUAUAGAAUCGAACAAAUAGCAAGUAUUUUCAUACAGACUCUAUCGAGAAGAGGAAUUAAGGUUUACAGUUUUGCAUCAAUCACUAACCGUAAAUAUAUUAAGUAAUAUUAAACGCAGUAUUUUUUUUUUUAAGUACAUAUUUUUGAAAGCAAGUUGAACAAUAAGAUGCUGUGAUACUUUUGCUAUACGUAUUAAGUUUAUGCAAUUUGCAAGUUUGGCAAAUUGAAUGACAUUAAAAUUAUGCGCGGAAUAUUAAUAUUUUUAUUUUAGAACUUAUUGCCUCAUUAUUUGAAAAUGCGUAAAAAAACUACCUCUAUCAGUAUGCACAAUAAUCUAUUGUGUACAUGAAACGUCAAUUAAUCAUUCAACAAUACUUCAUGUAUUUUACAAGCACAGAUAUAUAUGUGUUUUGUCUUUAAUAAUCUGAAUAACGUAUAGAAAAUCUAAAAAAA